AAUGACGUGGAAGAAGGAAGCUUGCUCUCUUAUUGCUGCUUGCUCUCGCUAGCCAGUCCAUCCCUUCACUGGCAUUAAAGCCUACUUCUUCAGGAUUCCAGCAUAUACUAAAGACCAACAGAGACAUCCAAUCUUAUGGACUAAACAACUACUGGAUUCUUGGACUUUCCAUUGGUGAACAGCAUUGUCAAACUAGCUGGACCACAGCCUACUUUUUCCUGAAUCUUGCUGUUUGGAUGACUUAGAAAUUCUGUCAGCACCGAAAGCCCAGCCUGGUGAGAAUGGUCAAGAAAGUCAACGAAUGAAGGAUGAAUGUGGAUCUUUCGCUUUCCUGGCGUCGACUUGCAACUAGAGACAGAUCAGCCUAGGCCACGGAAGAAGUGGAUUCUUUCCCAACCAGGAGACGGAAAACCACGUCUUCAUCAUCACUACAGUCUUCUCAUUUCAUUUUGAAGCCGAAUCGCGCUCAUCUGAGCUGUGUGUGUCUAAGAAAUACCUUGCAAAG